rnacentral:rRNA from 1 species
CUGAAGCAGGCUCCUCGUGCUUGGCAUGCUCGUCUUGCAAUGGCUCUUCGUGCUCAUGGUUUUGCAUCAUCAACUGCUGACUCCUCAUUGUUUCUUCUUCAAAGGCCUGAGGUUACUAUGUACUUGUUGGUCUAUGUAGAUGAUAUCAUUUUGGUCAGCUCCUCUCAGUCGGCUGCUACUGCGCUUGUUCGCUCACUUGGUGCUGAUUUUGCGGUCAAGGACCUUGGGAAGCUUCAUUACUUUCUUGGUGUGGAGGUUACUUCUCGUGCUGCUGGCCUUGUUAUGACGCAGAAGAAGUACUCUCUGGAUUUGUUGCAGCGAGCUGGGAUGCUUAAGUGCAAACCAACGACUACACCCAUGUCUACCACUGAUAAGCUCAAUGCUGUUGAUGGUGUGCUUCUUUCUUCUUCUGAUGCGACAGAGUACAGGAGUAUUGUUGGUGGGCUCCAGUACUUGACGAUCACGCGACCAGAUAUUUCCUAUGCUGUUAACCGAGUUUGCCAGUAUCUGCAGUCACCCCGUGACACUCAUUGGUCUGCUGUUAAGCGGAUUUUGCGCUAUAUUCGUUUCACGGUGGCUCAUGGUUUGCAUAUUCGGCCGUCUGACUCUAGUUGUCUUUCAGCAUAUUCUGAUGCAGACUGGGCUGGCAAUCCGGAUGACAGGCGAUCCACGGGGGGUUAUGCUGUCUUCUUUGGCUCUAACCUGAUUGCCUGGAGUGCUCGGAAACAG